rnacentral:rRNA from 1 species
ACUACGGGAGGCUGCAGUGGGGAAUAUUGCACAAUGGGGGAAACCCUGAUGCAGCGACGCCGCGUGAGUGAAGAAGUAUUUCGGUAUGUAAAGCUCUAUCAGCAGGGAAGAAAAUGACGGUACCUGAUUAAGAAGCCCCGGCUAACUACGUGCCAGCAGCCGCGGUAAUACGUAGGGGGCAAGCGUUAUCCGGAUUUACUGGGUGUAAAGGGAGCGUAGACGGCAGCGCAGGUCUGAAGUGAAAUGCCGGGGCUUAACCCCGGAACUGCUUUGGAUACUGUGUAGCUAGAGUGCAGGAGAGGUAAGGGGAAUGCGUGGUGUAGCGGUGAAAUGCGUAGAUAUUAGGAGGAACACCAGUGGCGAAGGCGGCUUACUGGACUGUAACUGACGUUGAGGCUCGAAAGCGUGGGUAGCAAACAGGAUUAGAUACCCGGGUAGUC